rnacentral:lncRNA from 1 species
AAAGUUAGAAAAAGACCACCCCAAUCGCCACUCCAGAGUCGGUCAACACUGUUGCAUCACAGUUAAGUGUGAUGAUAUCACUAGCACAAGCCAUAAAGUCAGAAGAUGCAAUUGGCAUUUUAACCCAAACAGCUUUUUGGGCAAUGUUAAAACAUUAGCCAUGGCUGAGGAUCUUCUGUUUGAACAACGGGACGUUACGAGGGCCCACAACAAACAUGCGAACAUCGACCGAUAAAAGGGCUCGUCGAUGAUUUCCACCAUCCAAUCAUGAAAAGAUAAUUUUUCAUCUUCAACCUCCCUCGGAUCAGGAUGAUAAUUCUGAUUUCUAGACGAAGAAACAUUGUUUCCAUUCCCAAUUGCAGAGAUCAUCGAUGAACUAGUUAUAGGCCUUUUUCGGAAAUCUAAAAAAUAUAGACUCCUCAACCAUUGUUUCCCUUCGUGGCCCCA